GAUGAACGCUAGCGAUAGGCCUAACACAUGCAAGUCGAGGGGCAGCACGGGUAGCAAUACUUGGUGGCGACCGGCGCAAGGGUGCGUAACGCGUGAGCAACAUGCCCGUAUCAGGGGGAUAAUCCAUGGAAACGUGGUCUAAUACCCCAUAGUAAGUUUUGGGGCAUCUCAAAGAUUUUAAAGCUUUGGUGGAUACGGAUUGGCUCGCGUGACAUUAGCUAGAUGGUAAGGUAACGGCUUACCAUGGCUACGAUGUCUAGGGGUUCUGAGAGGAAGGUCCCCCACACUGGAACUGAGACACGGUCCAGACUCCUACGGGAGGCAGCAGUGAGGAAUAUUGGACAAUGGAUGGAGAUCUGAUCCAGCCAUGCCGCGUGCAGGAAGAAUGUCCUAUGGAUUGUAAACUGCUUUUGCAGGGGAUAAAGUGAGCCACGUGUGGUUUUUUGUAUGUACUCUGCGAAUAAGGAUCGGCUAACUCCGUG
rnacentral:rRNA from 1 species